ACGAACGCUGGCGGCGUGCUUAACACAUGCAAGUCGAACGGAAAGGCCCUGCUUUUGUGGGGUGCUCGAGUGGCGAACGGGUGAAUAACACGUGAGUAACCUGCCCUUGACUUUGGGAUAACUUCAGGAAACUGGGGCCAAUACCGGAUAGGAGCUCCUGCUGCAUGGUGGGGGUUGGAAAGUUUCGGCGGUUGGGGAUGGACUCGCGGCUUAUCAGCUUGUUGGUGGGGUAGUGGCUUACCAAGGCUUUGACGGGUAGCCGGCCUGAGAGGGUGACCGGCCACAUUGGGACUGAGAUACGGCCCAGACUCCUACGGGAGGCAGCAGUGGGGAAUAUUGCACAAUGGGCGGAAGCCUGAUGCAGCAACGCCGCGUGCGGGAUGACGGCCUUCGGGUUGUAAACCGCUUUCGCCUGUGACGAAGCGUGAGUGACGGUAAUGGGUAAAGAAGCACCGGCUAACUACGUG
rnacentral:rRNA from 1 species